UGCCCGAAUGGCGCGGCCGGCUGCUCGGCUCGCUGCCGACGCGCGGCGACGUGGUGAUCGUCACCCCGCCGGGCACCC
rnacentral:tRNA from 1 species